GCUAUUUCACGUAUUUUAGGACGAGGUUUGAAGAAAAGUUACAACCACAAAAAGCAAUUUUUAAGUCGCCUAAUUUUGUUAGAUCGAAAACAAAUUUAUGUAAAACGUUGCACUGUAUACGCAAAUACAACAGCAAAAUAGCACGAUGUCUUCGAUUUUGUAAUAAAAAGAAUGAAGCUCACUUGGCCGCCAUAUUUGAACUUUGAAGUCGGUCAUGACUGCUGCUAUGCGCGGCGCGCAAAUUCAAGUCCAAAUGUGCUUUUAACAACCAUACGCGUUUUUUACUGGAGUGAGGAUUCUAGAUUGGGAAGACUACAACUUUUAUUGGUAAACAGAAGAGAUGGGUAUCAUUA